CCGCCUCAGCCCUCAGUGCCCGCCUCAGCCCUCAUUUCCCGCUUCGCUGUCUCCCUGUCCCGUCUCCGUGCCCGCCUCAGCCCCUCAGGUAUCGUGGUUUAACCCCAGCUGGCGGCUAAGCACCACCAACCCCCUGCUCACUUCCCCUUCAACAGAGAGAAACUUUGAGAUGGGACUGAGAGGAGGAGGACUGGACUGAUGUGUUCACCUUACCUUCUGGAGUCACGUGAGUAAAAAGCAUUGCAGCUGUUACAGCAACCAGAAACUUUCUAGCUUUAAGAACAUAAGAAUUUUAGUUGUCUAUAAAACAGAUAAACCCCCCAACAUUUAUUUUUAGAGUAAUCUGAUGGGUUUUGUAGUCUUUCUUUAGCAUUAGCUGUGUUGCAAUAGUGCUCCCUUUUUGUCUGUUAUUUAUCACCAGUAAAAUAAACUGUUUGGGGCAGGAAGAGUCUUUUACUCUCUUCUCGCAUGGCAAUGCCUGAAUCUCAGUGAGAAGCCUCUGAGUGCUGCUGUAAUAUAAAUACUCAAUAAUUACAGGCCCAGAGGCUUUAGCCCCCACCCCACUUGGAGCCCUGCCAGCCCGUGGGGUUUGUUCUAGCAGCAGACGUGCCAACAGUGAAAAGUGACAAAUUUUGUUGGCGAAAGAUAUUCAUAGGUCUAACAAGGAUAAGAAACACCCGCCUUUAGAAACAGAGGCUUAUGUCUCUCCAAGGAUAAACACACCCUAGAUUGACUCAUGCUGGCAUAAUCCCCUUGUGCAAUUUGUAUAUUGGCAUUAGAUAUGUGUGUGAGGCAAAAAGACAAAUAUUUGGUUAACGAAACAACACAGGGAUAAUAAAAAAUAAUUAGGCAGCUUUACCGCUCAAAACAAUGCAGCAGGUGAGCUGCUGCUCUUCCCCUCAGACAGACAUAUCCCUGCAAGCAGAGCUUCCUGAUUUUAUUUGCAGCAAAAUAACCUAUUUAUUUUGUUAAAUGCUCUCAGAGUAAAAAUAAUUAAUAAAUAAUUAAAUGAGUCAAGUCCAGUAGCACACAGUCUGGUGAGGGAGGGGGUAUAUACUGUGGUGGAAAAAGCAGGCUCAUAUUCCACAAGAGAGCUUUGUCAAGUGUAUUGCAUAAGGAGAUUACAGGCCUGAGUCUGAAACAGGCUGAAGGUUUUAGUUGUGUUUGUCAUUAGCAGGCUGUGAACUGCAGCACAACAGCCCCUCUUUCAUCUGGGUGAGAAAAGGCUCCAGGUCCAUCAUUAUGAUUCUGGAGCUGGGACUCCACACUGCUAUUAGCUUCAUUCCCCAGUGCCCUUUCUUGGUGUUUAAAUAAAGGAGAGGAGCUGGGCGGGUUAAUCAUCUGCUUCCAUUAUUCCCGUGCCUCGGAUCCGUUUGAUGUGACAACCCUCUGGGAAGGCCCCGGGCCCAGAGUCUGCUCUGCACGCCCCGCUGAGGCUUGUCCUGCACUCGGGCUUCUGCCAACGGGAGUUACAUGAUUAGCAAAAUGAGAACAAACUCCUCCCACCCCCGAGCCCUAGAGCCCUAUGUAUGUUGGCAGCUCUGAAUAAAUGCCAGUUUUUCUGGUAAAAAGAAAAAAAACAAUCCAAACUUUUCCUGAUGCAGCUGCUUCUGUGUGGAGAUUUUACCACCAGCUCUUGUUCUCCUCUGUGGGAGGCCUCCUUUCCAGUUCUUCAACCCUUCCUCCGCACUGUGUGGAGUGCCUCGCAAGUGGGGUGACCACAGCCAUUUCUCAAGCAGUACAUUAUGUCUCUCAUUACAUACCUAGCAGGAAUGCUGUCCUGGUAUUUUCAGGGUCUGCUGGAUAAUCCACAUCCCUUUCCAUGGGAGGAGCAGCACCACAAAGACCAAUAGAUUCAAUAGAUUCAAUAUCUGGAUUCUUCCCAAGAUUCACCGGCACAUGUAGCUGUAUCCCUCUGCUGUGCAUGGUGGGACCUGGGAAGAUCUAUUGCCAUCUUCCACCUGUGAAAUAUCCACGAAAUACCUUUUUCUGAAGCAUUCUGGUGCAUGUCUUGUAGCUCUCAGUUAUGUAGUGGUCCCCGGGGAGAGUCUGCAUGCACUGACAGCUCUGUUUUAGAAGAGCUGCAAGAAAUCUGCCAUGGAUAAAAUGGGAGGAGCUGACUUCUACAGAUUUCUAAACAUUGAGACACUGCAAGAGUCUGGGCCAAAUGAUAUGAGUGGAGGGACUGCCCUGAUGCAUCUGAGGGGCAUUGCCAGUGGCAUUCCUUCAUUGGAGAUGGAAUUCUGCGUGCAACUGCCGGUGUGUUCUGCUGUUCCUCCUGGCCUCACAGCCUGCUCCUGCUCUACUGAGUCAGGCUCUUGGAAACCAGGUCUGUGAAAAGCCUGUAGAUAGUCUAAAGAAAGCUUGCAACAUUCUGAAGAAUAUUCAGAAGCCUAAACCUGUCCACUGCAGGAAAAAAAAAAGGCUCAGCAGGAAGUCCUUAGAGUAUGAUAAUAAAAAGGACAUUUUAUGCAACUA